rnacentral:rRNA from 1 species
GACGAACGCUGGCGGCGUGCUUAACACAUGCAAGUCGAACGGAAAGGCCCUGAUUUUGUGGGGUGCUCGAGUGGCGAACGGGGGAGUAACACGUGAGUAACCUGCCCUAGACUUUGGGAUAACUUCAGGAAACUGGGGUUAAUACCGGAUAGGAGCUGAUGCUGCAUGGUGGGGGUUGGAUAGUUUCGGCGGUUGGGGAUGGACUCGCGGCUUAUCAGCUUGUUGGUGGGGUAGUGGCUUACCAAGGCUUGGACGGGUAGCCGGCCUGAGAGGGUGACCGGCCACAUUGGGACUGAGAUACGGCCCAGACGCCUACGGGAGGCAGCAGUGGGGAAUAUUGCACAAUGGGCGGAAGCCUGAUGCAGCAACGCCGCGUGCUGGAUGACGGCCUUCGGGUUAUAAACCGCUUUCGCCUGUGACGAAGCGUGAGUGACGGUAAUGGGUAAAGAAGCACCGGCUAACUACGUG